rnacentral:lncRNA from 1 species
GCCUUAUCCACUCAGGGACCCGUUGGUGAUGAAAAUAUUCACAGAUUGGUCCCUGAUCUUCUUCACCUUGUAACUUCUCAACCGUAACUCCGUUUAAGGUGAAACCAACGCUCACUUCUUCGUUUCGUCGAGACCUUUCUGUUGAUGUCACUUUCAUUAAGUUUUGACAUUCUUAAAAUGACUAUUUUGCCCUUGCACGUAAACAACCCCUCCGAGAGAGAACUGUUUCCGGCAAAUCUUUUCGCGGCUUCACCGCACUUCUCCCCGGUGCCUUCUUCACCCCCAGGCAAGCCACAAUACCCACUUGCAUGAUAGUCAUGUAGUAGCCAUGGUUUUCAACUUGAAUCUUUAUUAAAUGUUUGCUUGUUUAAAAUAUGGUUACCGUUGUUUCGGUAAUGCUUCUGGACUAGUGCUUACUUUCUUGCUAUGUUGUUAUGCACCUGGUUGUCAUGCCCAUGCUAGUUGCUAGUAUUCCUUUCAUAUUGCCAUGCUUGAUAGUAGUACAUGCUGAUGAUGGUGAUGGUCUUCGGUGCACGACUGUCGUCUGUCCCGAGUACCGUCGUUAUGCAUGUCCCUUUACAUCCAGUUGGUUAAAUGCUUGCAUGAUGGCAUUGUUGAUAUGUUCUUGCAUGAUAUUUAUGGUUGAUGCUAGUGGUCAUGCUAUGUUUCGGAGAAGUAUGUACUUAUGAUGUUCAUGCUCUUCAUUAUGCCAUGUUCAGUUGGAUAUGAUUCAUAGUUGAUAUGGUGGAUAGUUAUGUGGUACCCUCAUGAUUAUGUUGAUAUCCUGUUCAUGCAUUUUAUCAUGGCUCAUCAUAUUUGCAUUCAAGUUAACCGGAUUAAAUUGAACUUUAACAACUGUUGGCUGAGUCAUGGUGCCGCUGAAUCGAUGCUGACCAGUGCAACCACGCUUACCGGUAUGGGACGGUCCUAACUGGGUCUAUUGUUGUGCCUCUCGUCGGUGCCUCCAACGAGGGAAGGUUAUGGGCGCGCGCUACCCUGAUCAGGUAGGCGGACAUAACCUUGUGUGCCCGUUGUUGAGUUUUUUUUGGAUCCAUGUCCCCGUGUGGGACGGGCCACGACGGUGGUCGUUGGUGUCUUUGGUAGACACGGGGCCACCCAUGACUUAGCCCAGAGGGGAGUGAGUUGGAGUGGCCGGGAGAGUGUCAUGGCAGUAGGACGGUUUUGUCGGAACGCCGUUGGUCCACCCGAAUGGGAGUACGAGGCCAUGGGUUCCGUAGUGUGGGUACAGUGUACUAACCUCUGCAGAGUGUAUAUUAAAUCUAUCGAUAGCCGCGCCCACGGAUAAGGGCCCAGGUCGAAAGUAGGUCACACCAUGAGUCAACAGUAAUAAGAAUAACUUGAUUAAUGACAACCCGUGGUUGUGAUCGCCGUAAGGAUCACGGUUUGAGACCAAGUGUUGGUCGUGGUUGUGAUCGUCGUAAGGAUCACCGUGGUAUCGAGGAUACCGAGUUGUUGGAUAUUCGUGAUGUUGUGCGAGAGUCAUGGGUAAAGAUCAAGCUCCUUGUGGUCAUUUACUGAUCGCUAUGGUAUUGUUUAUACCAAGCUUGACUUGAUCCUGAGAUGAUCAUGUGAUGUCCGAGGAUGGUAAGUGAUGCAUGUGACGGUUACCAAGAAACCCGAGCAGAAUAAGUGGUGCAUAUAGUGUCAUCAUGUUGCAUGCUAGUAUUGUGAGAUUAAUAUGUUCAUGUUGUGUUAGCUGUAUCAUGUUGUUCAUGCUAUAUUGUUCUGAUGAUAUCAUGAUAAUCCCUGCUUAACCUGUAAUUGCCAUGCUGUUGUUUGUCUUGAAUGCUUCUGGAUUAUUGUGAGCUUGCAAGUACAUUCAAUGUACUGACCUGGCGUGUCAUGCCAGUUUGCAGGUCAUGCCGGAUUUGAUUGCGUGCUUGUCGUGGUUUCCGUUCGUGCGAGCUAGGAUAAGCGUUCCAGCCAGAGUCCCUGCGGAGUGGAGUUCACCACCGUCUUCGUUGUUCCGCUGCUAGAGUUAUUCCGCUGCUUCGAGUUGUUCUGCUGCUUGCAUAGAGCAACUGAGGAUGGCGUAGUUUCGCCGUACCGAUGUUAUUCAUUGUAAUAUCGGAGACCUUGUAUUCAUACUCGUGUAAUAAUAGAAAGCUGGUUUGUUCUAUGCUAAGCAGUGC